UCAUCAGCAGACAUGCUUGAGAGGAUGUUGAAGAUCUCUCUGAAAUUUGGUGGGCUCACGACACUCGUAGCUCACCUUCUCACUUCCCGAACUCCAGACUGAAACCCUGAAGAACUCACUGAAACCCUGUGCACACUUUUUCUUUCUUUUCUUUCUUUUUCUCUCAGAAGGAUAUAGACCUUCACCUUGCACACAAGGAUUUCUCAUGCCCAUAUUUUCUCUCCAAAAUUUUUCUUGCACACACCCCACUCUUCUCCUCCUUUUAAAACAAUGUCAAACGUCUUAUCCAUGUGAGAGGAUAAAGAUGAGUAAUUGCACAUUUGAAUUCAAAUCAAAUUUUGAAUUCAAAUGGAAAUCAAUUCAUCCCUAUCCACUAAGGGCAUGAGAAAAGGAGGGCGUGGCUUAAUUUGUGCAUGAGUGAUUUCACGAGAAAUAUUUUCUCGUGUAAUAAAUGGGGCGCUAAAAGAGGAUAAGGUCAAGGCGCUAAGAUUGGUUGCUCAUUCAAAUUCAAACUUUGUUUUGAAAUUUGAAUGGCCAACCAAUCAUCCUUAUCCACUCAUUUGGUGCAUUAAAGUAGGGC
rnacentral:lncRNA from 1 species